rnacentral:lncRNA from 1 species
UAAGGGUAAAAACAGAACAAGUGGGUCGAGGUGGAGGUGUAGGUCGCGGUGGAUGCUACUAGUUAAGUCGCGGUCGAUGUCGACAGCACAUAGCAAGGAAGUCACCUGCGCUGUCAGUCGAGCUAGAACCACUAUCAAGUGAAGUAGUUUAAUGAAAUUUGAAUGACAAAAAGACUGUGCUUUUGCGAUGUUGUGUCAGUCAAGUGAUGAUAGUGAUGAAAUGUCAGCUGUAAAUAAUCAGAUUCUCCUUAAUAUUUCAAAAAUUUACUGAAUUUAAGUACUUUAGAAAUUCAAAAAUAAACUGAAUAC